AUCCUCUCAGGAUCACACCUGGAGAGUUUCCAGUACUCUACCAGUCUCGUCUGUGAGAGGGAGAGUGAAGCAGAGGCCUGUCCAUUCCAUUCCUAGCUUGGGCAGUGGCUAGCAAGUGGAAGGCAAUCUGCUACAAGU